rnacentral:rRNA from 1 species
CCUACGGGCGGCAGCAGUGAGGAAUAUUGGUCAAUGGACGCAAGUCUGAACCAGCCAUGCCGCGUGCAGGAAGACGGCUCUAUGAGUUGUAAACUGCUUUUGUACGAGGGUAAAUCCCGAUACGUGUAUCGGGUUGAAAGUAUCGUACGAAUAAGGAUCGGCUAACUCCGUGCCAGCAGCCGCGGUAAUACGGAGGAUUCAAGCGUUAUCCGGAUUUAUUGGGUUUAAAGGGUGCGUAGGCGGUUCGAUAAGUUAGCGGUGAAAGCCCGGGGCUCAACCCCGGCACUGCCUCUGAUACUGUCGGGCUAGAGUUUAGUUGCGGUAGGCGGAAUGUAUGGUGUAGCGGUGAAAUGCAUAGAGAUCAUACAGAACCCCGAUUGCGAAGGCAGCCUACCAAGCUACGACUGACGUUGAGGCACGAAAGCGUGGGGAGCAAACAGGAUUAGAUACCCUGGUAGUC